rnacentral:rRNA from 1 species
AACGAACGCUGGCGGCAUGCCUAACACAUGCAAGUCGAACGAGACCUCCGGGUCUUUUGGCGCUCGGGGGCGGAAGGCGUGGGAAGCUGCACUUAGGUACCGUAUACCUCCCUGAAGGGGAUGUUAAUGCCGGAUAAUGUCUUCGGACCAAAGAUUUAUGGCCUUUGGAUGGGCCCGAGUUGGAUUCGCUGGUUGGUAGGGUAAUAGCCGACCAAGGGGAGGAUCCAUAGCUGGUUUGAGAGCCGGAUACGCAACACUGGGACUAGGACACGGCCCAGAAUCCUACGGAAGGCAGGAGUGGGGAAUAUUGGACGAUGGGGGAAAGCCUGAUCCAGCAAUGCCGGGUAAGUCAUGAUGGCCGUAGGGAUGUGAAGCUGUUUUACCCGGGACGAUAAUGACGGUACCGGGUGAAGAAGCACCGGCUAACUCCGUG